rnacentral:rRNA from 1 species
AUUGAACGCUGGCGGCAGGCUUAACACAUGCAAGUCGAGCGAGCGGCGGACGGGUGAGUAAUGUCUGGGAAAAUGCCUGAUGGAGGGGGAUAACUACUGGGAACGGUAGCUAAUACCGCAUAACAGCAGAUGUGCCCAGAGGGGAUUAGCUAGGAGGUGGGGUAAUGGCUCACCUAGGCGACGAUCACUAUCUGGUCUGAGAGGAUGACCAGCCACACUGGAACUGAGACACGGUCCAGACUCCUACGGGAGGCAGCAGUGGGGAAUAUUGCACAAUGGGCGCAAGCCUGAUGCAGCCAUGCCGCGUGUGUGAAGAAGGCCUUCGGGUUGUAAAGCACUUUCAGCGAGGAGGCGUUACUCGCAGAAGAAGCACCUGCUAACUCCGUGCCAGCCGCCGCGGUAAUAC